rnacentral:rRNA from 1 species
UACGUAGGUGGCAAGCGUUGUCCGGAUUUACUGGGCGUAAAGAGCGCGCAGGCGGUCGGAUAAGUCGAAUGUGAAAGCCCCCGGCUCAACUGGGGAGGGUCAUUCGAUACUGUUCGACUCGAAGGCAGGAGAGGGAAGUGGAAUUCCAGGUGUAGCGGUGAAAUGCGUAGAUAUCAGGAGGAACACCAAUGGCGAAGGCAGCACUCUGGGACGUGACUGACGCUGAGACGCGAAAGCGUGGGGAGCAAACAGG